UUAAAUUAAACGUCGUCAAAUUGAACAUUAUUCAAAUAAAAAAUUAAAAGGGCAGAGAAUAAGUUUGCCGCAUCCAACAUCUCCCUCCCUUUGACUCUCUCUUCUCCUCUUCCUCCCACGCAGACAAUAUUUUUAUGCAAAUUAAACAUCUAAAUUCCUCUCCCUUUCUCAAAUGUAUAUCUAAAUCAAUAUAUUCAACUCAUCAGACUCAUUCUUUCUCCAAACAACAUACCAAGAUAAACAAAACCAAAAUUUGACAAUGCAAAUCCAGCUCAACAAUUCCAGUCAUUGUUGGGAUAUACAACACAACACGGUCCAAAAACCACAAGAAAUAACUUUUAAAUUAUGCACAGAAGUUGACAAAAGUAAAAAUUUCAUUUCUCAAAGUGAAAUUCUUUAUGAAAUUACAACACAAACAAUUCUUCAAGAUGGGGCUGUUCUCACAAAGUGAAGCUUUCUCUUAAAUUAAUCUCUCACCUGCUCUAUUGAUUUGAGUCUAAACUCAAACCCAAAUUCAAUUUCAUCUCCUGCGCUUGAUUGAAUACAAAAAAUCAUUGGCAUCCCGUUCACCAUCAAAUCCACUUGCAAACUCACCACCACCCACCAACUCACUCCCAAUAACAGUAUCUAGGCCACUUGACAAAAGUUUGCCUUCACCUGCAUGUGCAGGGAACCCAAAAACCCAAGGAACCACCAAUUCGGCUUGUUGCUGGUUCUUAAUAGCAUACUUCGAUUGGAGAAUGGUAAGAAAAUGGUGAGGCAUGGUUCAUUAGACAACAAUUGUAGACUUGGGGGUGCUUGAGAGAACCAAGGUAGGAGUGCAUAUGGUUGUGCUUGACAUGGGUUAGAUCAACAUUCUUAAAAAUUCACUCUUUUGUGUUUCUGUUUCAAGGAGCGACGGGUUUGAGAUGGAGCUUUUAGAAAUUAGGUGA
rnacentral:misc_RNA from 1 species